GACGAACGCUGGCGGCGUGCUUAACACAUGCAAGUCGAACGGAAAGGCCCUGCUUUUGUGGGGUGCUCGAGUGGCGAACGGGUGAGUAACACGUGAGUAACCUGCCCUUGACUUUGGGAUAACUUCAGGAAACUGGGGCUAAUACCGGAUAGGAGCUCCUGCUGCAUGGUGGGGGUUGGAAAGUUUCGGCGGUUGGGGAUGGACUCGCGGCUUAUCAGUUUGUUGGUGGGGUAGUGGCUUACCAAGGCUUUGACGGGUAGCCGGCCUGAGAGGGUGACCGGCGACAUUGGUACUGAGGUACGGCCCAGACUCCUACGGGAGGCAGCAGUGGGGAAUAUUGCACAAUGGGCCGAAGCCUGAUGCAGCAACGCCGCGUGCGGGAUGACGGCCUUCGGGUUGUAAACCGCUUUCGCCUGUGACGAAGCGUGAGUGACGGUAAUGGGUAAAGAAGCACCGGCUAACUACGUG
rnacentral:rRNA from 1 species